GUUGUUGAAUCUGUUGUAAUUACUUUUAUAUUAAUAAUGUUGGUUUUCCAACUACGACGAUAAACGAAUUUCGAAAUAACCAUUGCGGACGUGGGGGCAGUACCCACCACCUCCACCAUUACAACUUAUGGGGGUGAACUAGAUUCGACGGGUGACUAAAGGUUAUUCUUUCGUUCGGGAUUGUUCCACCGUAACGGGCUAAUUUAUAAUUGCUAACGAAAGUUAUGCACUUGCUGCCUAAUUAACAUAGUUAAUUAAGCACGGGGUUCGGGGCACCUGGCAACAGAACGCCCCUUCC
rnacentral:tmRNA from 1 species